AGAGUUUGAUCCUGGCUCAGAACGAACGCUGGCGGCGUGUCUUAAGCAUGCAAGUCGUGCGGCAAGGCGGGGCAACCCGCCCUAGAGCGGCGGACUGGUGAGUAACGCGUGGGUGAUCUGCCUUUGGGAUGGGGAUAGCCAUUAGAAAUAGUGGGUAAUACCGAAUACGUUCGUCAUGCUGCGGCAUGGCGAGGAAAAGCGCUUCGGCGCUGCCCGAAGAUGAGCCCGCGUCCCAUUAGCUAGUUGGUGAGGUAAAGGCCCACCAAGGCGAUGAUGGGUAGCCGGCCUGAGAGGGUGUACGGCCACACUGGGACUGAGAUACGGCCCAGACUCCUACGGGAGGCAGCAGCUAAGAAUAUUCCGCAAUGGACGAAAGUCUGACGGAGCGACGCCGCGUGGAUGACGAAGGCCGAAAGGUUGUAAAGUCCUUUUGUUGGGGAAGAAUAACCAUGGGAGGGAAUGCCCGUGGGAUGACAUGAACCGACGAAUAAGCCCCGGCUAACUACGUGCCAGCAGCCGCGGUAACACGUAGGGGGCAAGCGUUGUUCGGAAUUACUGGGCGUAAAGGGCAUGUAGGCGGCUUUGUAAGCCCGGCGUGGAAGCCCACGGCUCAACCGUGGGAUUGCGUUGGGAACUGCGAGGCUUGAAUCAUGGAGAGGGAGCUAGAAUUCCUGGUGUAGGGUGAAAUCUGUAGAGAUCAGAAGAAUACCAGUGGCGACGAGCUCCUGGCCAAUGAUUGACGCUAGUGCGAAAGUGUGGGGAUCAAACAGGAUUAGAUACCCUGGUAGUC
rnacentral:rRNA from 1 species